UGGAGCAUCUCCCCUCUUUCUGUACAAAAAAAAAAAAAAAUUAAUUAAUAUUUGUAAAUUUGAUCCCUCUCAGCGCAUGGCAAAUUGGAGGGAAGAUUGUGGGAUGUAAUCAGGGACGGUGAUGUUAAUAAAGAAUUUUGUUUCUCAAAAAAAUAAAAACAAAGCCCCCGUCCUAAAAAUUUGGGGUGCCCUUUUUGCCCUGGAACUUUGCAGCGAGUUCUUUGUUUUCCCAGCGAGCGGAGAGGGAGGGAGGAAAGAACGGAAGAAAGGCUUCGCAGCAGCAGCAAGAGGAAAUAAUGGUAAGGAGAGGAGAGAGAUGCGGCCGAUAUUGAUGAAGGGGCACGAGCGGCCCUUGACGUUCUUGAAGUACGACCGGGAGGGGGAGCUGCUCUUCUCGUGCGCCAAGAACUACAACCCACCUGGUUCGCCGAUGACUGCGGUCACCUCGGCACCUAUCGCGGCACAACGGCGGCGCCAUCUGGGCGACGUCUCCCGCAACUAUUUCUAUAACCCUCUAUUCCCUUUUCCUCUUUCGUGCGAUUUUAUUCGGUCUUUUCUAUCGCCUUGUUUGGUUUGCAUCGGUGUGUCUGCUAGAAAGUUAGGUUUUUGCAGGCUCCUUGUAUUCUAUGAUUUUUUUUCGCAAUUUUUCCUAUUUUUCUCGCUAUUUUUUUUUGUUUAUUUUUCUUCAUUGAUUUCGAUAUUAUUGUUGCAGGCAAUUGCAUAUUCAUGUUGAAAAACUAGGAGCCUAUUUUUAUAAAAGUCUUUUUUGAUGUUUUUCUUCUUCUUGUUUUGCGAAUUCCGACUUUGGUUUCGGUAUACUCUAUGAUCAUAUUGACCUAUCUCGAGGAUUCUAAUUAAAUGUACAACCUAUCUGUAUUUUUAUCAAUCUGCUUAUAGGAUUUAGAGUAUCACUGAUCGGGUUAUUCUGCAACAAAACUGAAAAUCUGUAUCUGAAGCUGAUCCCUAGCGAAUACUAUUUGAUGUGAUUGUGGAGUAUAGAGGCCAUAAUAGGAAGGCUAGAAGGCAGAUGAGAUUCGUCAUUGGCAGUGGGUUGAUCAUGUAUUUUUAGCAAUUAGAAUUGGUCCGGUAGCAGAUUAAUUUGAUUUAUCUGCUCCCGUAAUUUCCAGCAGGGAAAGGCUUAAAUAAUGGGUUUUCAUUUACCUAGAAAACUUGACCUUAAAACACUUGUAAGGUGGUGUGAAAUGGCUUGGGAAGGCUGAAGUAGAAGGAGAGUGAAAAUAGGGUGUCUUAGGCACUUGUGGAGUUAGAAUAUCUCGACUUCUGAAAGGUGCAGCCCAGUAUCAUUUGUGGCCCGUUUUUUAAAUUUUUCUCCAGUAUAUAUUUGAAUUAUUUUGCUUAUUGUUCUGAUUUUGUUGUAGUUUUCAGUAUUUUUAUCUAAUGCAAUAGGUGGUGAUUGGAGGUGGUCAGGAUGCAUCACAUGUCACAGCAACUGAUCAUCGUGCUGGAAAGUUUGAGGCUCAAUUUGUUCACAAGAAGAGAUUGGGGGUAUGAAAGGGCAUUUUGGACAAAUAAAUGCUCUAGCAUUCAAUCCUGAAGAAGGUUUGCACAGCUUGAAGAUGGCAGCCAAUUAUUAUUUUGGCAAUGUACGCUAUUCUGAUAGAGCUUAGCUUUAAGUGCUGAUAUUGGAAUAUACUGAGAGCUUCUUCUUCAACUUUUGCUUUCGUAAACUAUAUUUAUAUGAUAUCUGAUGCCAUACUGAUACUUGUAAAGCUUUCUUGAGUUGUUGCUGAGGGAAAUAUCAGAAGUCAUGCUUGAAGUUUCCUGUUGGUAGGGGCUCUUUAGUGGUUUUUAUGGAGCAUAUUUUGGAAAUCCAAGACAUCUGAGAGGCUAUAGAAACAUGCUGUUCUUCCUCUCCCAAUUUCUCAUUGACAUAAUUUCCUGAUCUCAUUUUAGAUUUAUCUGCAUAUUGUUAUGGCAUGGAGGUUUCUAUAGUUGAUCUAGUGGAUCAGAUUUUGGUACAAUUUAUUCUGUGUAUCAUGAUUUUUUAAAACCUUAACCUUUUUGUUUCUU